ensembl:lncRNA
CAUUGCUACUAUAAAAUGGCAGAAAAUUUACAAAAAGUGCCGUUAUUUCUAGAUAUAGAUGAAAAUAACUUCUAAUUCAAUCUGCACUUUAACCUGUCAUUUUAUCAUUCCAAAGAUUGUCACUGUGACUGUAAAGUAUUUCAUGUCUUGAGUGAAAACAAUUGGCUAAUAAAUUAUGAUAAAAUAUAUCUAAGCUAAUAAAAAAAUAUGAAACAUACACAAAUAUGUACAAUGGCUUUGGAAAGUAUUCAGAUAUCUUCACUUCCACCACAUUUUGUUGUUAUAGACUUCAUUUAUAAUUGAUUGAAUGUCAUUUGUAUUUCCAUACAUUGGGUGGUCCCCCAAAUAUUAUCACCCCACUUUUUUUUUCUUAUAUUAUGAACUCUGCUAUAAAUUCUCAUAAAGCUGUUUACAUUUUACUGUUAAAAUGUUGGCAGAGUGCUUGGAUUGCAUAUGAAUAGCUUUCCUAUGAAUAGCUGCACCAAUGAGAUCCUAGGAAUUUCAUCACAUGACUUUUACAGAACAUUGUUGGUGGACAGCUUUAGGGAGUUGAAAUGAAUGAGUUUGUUUGUAUUCUUAAACAUACUCUCUAUGUCAGGAAUUACAUAGAUGGUGCCUAAGAGUAUAAGCAAUAUAGAUACUCAGUAAUUGUCUUCAUAUCAAUACCACAGGAACUGCAUAGAAGGUGCCUAAUGGUAAGCAAUCCAGGCACUCAGUCACUGUCCUAUCAAUACCGCAGGGCUAGAAAAAGACUGAUUGGACAAAAUAAACAGUACAUCUACAUCAAACAAGCUGCAGCAUCAUAUUACAGAGGACAGAGGAAAGAAUUAUGCUCAACUUGGAAGAAUUUACUUGCUACUUGAAUGGAUGAAAUCAUGGCAGUCUGGCAGUUCGUGAAUAUUUUGCAAACCCAAACUAACUAUAUAGGUUAUUUAAGACACAACUAGACUAGACUGGAAAAAGAUUGCUGGAACAAAAUGAAUAAUAAUUUUCUCUUUUCAUCGGGCAGUUGAGGUCAAGAAAAUGAAGAAUUAGAGAAUCUGGACCAAAGUACAAACCUGCCUGUAUUCUCACCAUAAGGCAAGAACAUGCCCAUCAUGAUGGACAACUGCACUGCGUCCAAAAAACCCUGACAACUAUACGCUGUCCUUCUCUGCAAGCAUCAACAUUUAUCACGUUAUGCGCUAAGGGACACCAAGUUCAACAUAAAGAUCCAUGUGACACUGCCCCAAAAACUGAGCUCAAUGUUCUUCCAGAUUCAUAGCACUUCUAGAGUAGACAGAAUGUGGUGUUAAUUUUAUAUAAUUUUAUCCAUUCCAUGUUUCUGUCUGGAUUCCAUGAUUCCACCUUGAUCUCCGC